rnacentral:rRNA from 1 species
AACGAACGCUGGCGGCAUGCCUAACACAUGCAAGUCGAACGAGACCUUCGGGUCUAGUGGCGCACGGUUGCGUAACGCGUGGGAACCUGCACUUAGGUUCGGAAUAACUCCCCGAAAGGGGUGCUAAUACCGGAUAAUGUCUUCGGACCAAAGAUUUUUCGCCUUUGGAUGGGCCCGCGUUGGAUUAGCUAGUUGGUAGGGUAAAAGCCUACCAAGGCGACGAUCCAUAGCUGGUCUGAGAGGAUGAUCAGCCACACUGGGACUGAGACACGGCCCAGACUCCUACGGGAGGCAGCAGUGGGGAAUAUUGGACAAUGGGCGAAAGCCUGAUCCAGCAAUGCCGCGUGAGUGAUGAAGGCCUUAGGGUUGUAAAGCUCUUUUACCCGGGAUGAUAAUGACAGUACCGGGAGAAUAAGCUCCGGCUAACUCCGUG